rnacentral:rRNA from 1 species
AAACUAACAAGGAUUCCCCUAGUAGCGGCGAGCGAAGCGGGAAGAGCUCAAAUUUAUAAUCUGGCACCUUCGGUGUCCGAGUUGUAAUCUCUAGAAGUGUUUUCCGCGUUGGACCGCACACAAGUCUGUUGGAAUACAGCGGCAUAGUGGUGAAACCCCCGUAUAUGGUGCGGACGCCCAGCGCUUUGUGAUACACUUUCAAUGAGUCGAGUUGUUUGGGAAUGCAGCUCAAAUUGGGUGGUAAAUUCCAUCUAAAGCUAAAUAUUGGCGAGAGACCGAUAGCGAACAAGUACCGUGAGGGAAAGAUGAAAAGCACUUUGGAAAGAGAGUUAACAGUACGUGAAAUUGUUGGAAGGGAAACGCUUGAAGUCAGACUUGCUUGCCGGAGCUUGCUUCGGUUUGCAGGCCAGCAUCAGUUUUCCGGGGUGGAUAAUGACGGUUUGAAGGUAGCAGUCUCGGCUGUGUUAUAGCUUUCCGUUGGAUACGCCCUGGGGGACUGAGGAACGCAGCGUGCUUUUUGCG